GGCUGCAACCCGCCUGUAUGAAGUUAGAAUCGCUAGUAAUCGCGGAUCAGCAUGCCGCGGUGAAUACGUUCCCGGGCCUUGUACACACCGCCCGUCACACCAUGAGAGUCGGGAACACCCGAAGUCCGUAGCCUAACCGCAAGGGGGCGCGGCCGAAGGUGGGUUCGAUAAUUGGGGUGAAGUCGUAACAAGGUACC
rnacentral:rRNA from 1 species